rnacentral:pre_miRNA from 1 species
UCUUAGGGAUGAGCAAAGAAAGUGGUUUCUUGAGCUAGAAUCUACUACUGGCAAUGAUGCUGAGAA